UACGAAGGGGGCUAGCGUUGCUCGGAUUGACUGGGCGUAAAGGGCGCGUAGGCGGUUCGUACAGUCAGACGUGAAAUUCCUGGGCUCAACCUGGGGGCUGCGUUUGAUACGUGCGGACUUGAGUGCGGAAGAGGGUCGUGGAAUUCCUGGUGUAGAGGUGAAAUUCGUAGAUAUCAGGAGGAACACCAGUGGCGAAGGCGGCUUUCUGGACGGUAACUGACGCUGAGACGCGAAAGCGUGGGGAGCAAACAGG
rnacentral:rRNA from 1 species